rnacentral:rRNA from 1 species
GUAUUAUACAGCGAAACUGCGAAUGGCUCAUUAAAACAGUUAUAGUUUAUUUGACAUUCAAAUCUACAUGGAUACCCGUGGUAAUUCUAGAGCUAAUACAUGCUGUUGAGCCUGACUUCUUGGAAGGGCGAUAUUUAUUAGAUAACAAGCCAAUAUUCCUCUGGUCUAUUGUGGUGACUCAUGAUAACUGUCUCGGAUCGCAAGGCCUAUGGCCGCGAUAAGUCAUUCAAGUUUCUGCCCCAUCAGCUUUCGAUGGUAGUGUAUUGGACUACCAUGGCGUUUACGGGUAACGGAGGAUUAGGGUUCGAUUCCGGAGAGGGAGCCUGAGAAACGGCUACCACAUCUAAGGAAGGCAGCAGGCGCGUAAAUUACCCAAUCCUGACUCAGGGAGGUAGUGACAAGAAAUAGCGGACAGAGGCCCUUGUGGCUUCUGGAUUGCAAUGAGCCGAAUUUACACCCCUUAGCGAAAAUCGAUUGGAGGGCAAGUCUGGUGCCAGCAGCCGCGGUAAUUCCAGCUCCAAUAGCGUAUAUUAAAGUUGUUGCAGUUAAAAAGCUCGUAGUUGGAUUUCUGGUAGGGUGCCGAUGCCAGCUUCGUGCGGUCGCGGAGGCGCCCUGCCAUCCUUCUGUUAGCGCCUCUUGGCAUUCAUUUGCUGGUGGCGGGCUCAGAUAUUUUACCUUGAGAAAAUUAGAGUGUUUCAGGCAGGCUAAGCCGGAAUACAUUAGCAUGGAAUAAUGGAAUAGGACUGAGGUCUCUUUGUUGGUUUGAGGGACUACAGUAAUGAUUAAUAGGGACAGUUGGGGGCAUUAGUAUUUAAUAGUCAG